rnacentral:misc_RNA from 1 species
CCGGAAUGUAGAUAGCACCUAGACAAAAAUAUACUAUAGUUGAAGUAUCCAAUUGAAAGCUAUAUUUUUUUUCCUAUGCAGAUGUAAGAUUAGUGUGGGACUAACUGUUAUAUGCCCAACAAGGAAUUGGCUUGGAACACACAGACCAUAAUGAUUAGACAACCUAUGGUUCACUAGCAAGUAAACAAUGAAAAUUAUCUUUCUUGUAAGUUCCCAUCUGUAUUGAUAAUCCACAUUGUUAAUCAACACCUAGCAUAUUUUAGCUAACGCCUCAUUCUUUCCUUUCUUCCUAUUUUCCUCACAGUGCCAUAUGUUAGAACCAUAUCAUGUCAAAUUAUUCAUAAUGAUUCUCAGUGUGUGUUUGUUUUUCUCUCUUGCCAGUUAUUUUCUGAUACAUUCUUCCUUACCAGCCAACAUCACCAGUUUAAUAAACUUGCAACUUUUCUACCUCUCAACAACUUGUAUAACAUUCUAAUAGUUAAAGCUCUUAGUUCACUCAAUCGAGAGCCAUAAAUAAAAUUAAACUAAUCCUUUCUUCUAAAAUUCAAUUCUCCAAAUAUACAAGUAUUGUUUGCAACAUAUGCCACCAGAACUUUCUCCAGAUAUGCUUAAUUCAAUAAAAAUCAUAUAAAAAUUCUAAAUUGCUAUAUCACACUAGCUUAUUGAGAUCUUUGGUCCU